AGAGUUUGAUCAUGGCUCAGAACGAACGCUGGCGGCAUGCCUAACACAUGCAAGUCGAACGCUCUUGGGAUUUCGGUUUCAAGGGAGUGGCGCACGGGUGAGUAGCGCGUGGGAACCUGCCCUGUUGUGGGGGAUAACCGAGGGAAACUUCGGCUAAUACCGCAUGCGCCCGGGGCAACCCGGGGAAAGAUUUUAUCGCAGCAGGAGGGGCCCGCGUCGGAUUAGCUAGUUGGUGGGGUAACGGCCUACCAAGGCGUCGAUCCGUAGCUGGUCUGAGAGGAUGAUCAGCCACACUGGGACUGAGACACGGCCCAGACUCCUACGGGAGGCAGCAGUGGGGAAUAUUGGACAAUGGGCGCAAGCCUGAUCCAGCAAUGCCGCGUGAGUGAUGAAGGCCUUAGGGUUGUAAAGCUCUUUCGCCCGCGACGAUGAUGACGGUAGCGGGAGAAGAAGCCCGGCUAACUUCGUGCCAGCAGCCGCGGUA
rnacentral:rRNA from 1 species